UCUGAUCGGUGCUGAGGGCUGGCAGCGUCACCUCUGGGAGCAGCUGCCAAGGCGAAUUCCCACCGGGCUUUUAAGCGAAGUGGCGGAAGUCUGGGAGGAGAUGAAAGAGGAACUGCAAAAAGGUUUCUCUGCCAUAUUGUGUGCAGCAGGGGUCCUUGAAAUCCCCAUCACUACCCUCGGGAUCUGCUGAAGUCAUUGCCACACGGGCUGGUUGGAGCACCCUUGCAGAUAUUUGCUGACAAACCUUCUCAGUAUAAUCCUUUAUUAUCUAACCACAGUCAAGAGCCUACUUCACAUGAAAUAUUUUCUGCUACAGAUGGCAAAGCCUGAGACUGAGCCAACAACAGUGUAAAAAUACAUUUAUAUCAGUGCAGAAGCCCUCAGCCAGACAACAUGCCCGCGCUAUUUGUCAUGUGCAAGAGGAUUUAUGCAAUGGACUGGCAUAACUCCCCAACAGUAACAGGCUGUGUGUAAAAAAUAAAGUUGUGCAGGAUAGUCCACCAGUUCUUUUACUCAAGAAGAGGCAUUUUAUUGAACAAAGUCCAUCAAGGAAAAAGGAAAGAGAGACUGCACUAUUUAACAGCUUCCAGAAAAUGCAGUGUUAAUUGACAACAAAGAAAACAUCACAGGGAUGAAACCAUAAAAGCUCAGAAGCAGCCUCUGCAAUGUAAGUAUUCACUUAAAAUGUUACACUCCGUGUGUGAAGCCUGCCUGCCAUACCGUGGAGCCUCGCGUGGUGCAGCCGUACGAAAGAAGCCUCCUUGUGCCGAUGCUUGACAGAAGAAACAGCAGCUCUCCCAGUAAAUGGCAAGGUUGCCUAGGGGCUACAGCGAUCAGGUGAAGAAGGGUUAUUCUGAUAUGCUAUAGGCUGACUCUUGAUAAAUGUCAAGCAGAAGGGCUAAGAUUGUCCAAGUAUAAGUACUUACAUUUGUGCUAGAUCACGUUUUAAGAAAGGUCUGGGAGUUAUUGAACACUCUGUACUUUUGAAAGUUUUAUUUUUAGCAC